rnacentral:rRNA from 1 species
AUUGAACGCUGGCGGCAGGCUUAAUACAUGCAAGUCGAGCGAGCGGCGGACGGGUGAGUAAUGUCUGGGAAACUGCCUGAUGGAGGGGGAUAACUCCUGGAACCGGUAGCUAAUACCGCUUACCAUCCGCUGUUCCCUGAUUGGAUUAGCUAGUAGGUUGGGUAAGGGCUCACCUAGGCGACGAUGCCUAGCUGGUCUGAGAGGAUGACCAGCCACACUGGAACGGAGACACGGUCCAGACUCCUACGGGAGGCAGCAGUGGGGAAUAUUCCGCAAUGGGCGCAAGCCUGAUGCAGCCAUGCCGCGUGUGUGAAGAAGGCCUUCGGGUUGUAAAGCACUUUCAGCGGGGAGGCGUUACUCAAAGAAGAAGCACCGGCUAACUCCGUGCCAGCAGCCGCGGUAAUUC